UAGGGAAUCUUCGGCAAUGGGGGGAACCCUGACCGAGCAACGCCGCGUGAGUGAAGAAGGUUUUCGGAUCGUAAAGCUCUGUUGUUAAGGAAGAACGAGUGUGAGAAUGGAAAGUUCAUACUGUGACGGUACUUAACCAGAAAGGGACGGCUAACUACGUGCCAGCAGCCGCGGUAAUACGUAGGUCCCGAGCGUUGUCCGGAUUUAUUGGGCGUAAAGCGAGCGCAGGCGGUUAGAUAAGUCUGAAGUUAAAGGCAGUGGCUCAACCAUUGUAGGCUUUGGAAACUGUUUAACUUGAGUGCAGAAGGGGAGAGUGGAAUUCCAUGUGUAGCGGCGAAAUGCGUAGAUAUAUGGAGGAACACCGGUGGCGAAAGCGGCUCUCUGGUCUGUAACUGACGCUGAGGCUCGAAAGCGUGGGGAGCGAACAGG
rnacentral:rRNA from 1 species